AUGGUGGCGGCGGGGACCUUGCUCACGUCAUGGCGGCGGCGGGGACCUUGCUCGCGUCAUGGUGGUGUCCUCGGGCACGGCGGAGUCUCCUUGGUGAUGGUGGCGGCGAUGUUUUGGGUGGUAGGUCGGGGCGGUGGCCCGCCUCCUUGUCUACGCGUCGUACUGCUGCCGCUCGAGCGCGGCGCUAUUGUGCGGAGCGGGCCGGCGCGGCGUGACGGCGGGCUGGCUGAUGCCGUUUUCGUCCAAUCUGGCGCCUGGAGCCGCGGGAUCGAUGUGAGCAGCGCGGGACGGUGUCCUACGCUGUGGUGGUGA
rnacentral:rRNA from 1 species